GACGAACGCUGGCGGCGUGCUUAACACAUGCAAGUCGAACGGAAAGGCCCUGCUUUUGUGGAGUGCUCGAGUGGCGAACGGGUGAGUAACACGUGAGUAACCUGCCCUUGACUUUGGGAUAACUUCAGGAAACUGGGGCUAAUACCGGAUAGGAGCUCCUGCUGCAUGGUGGGGGUUGGAAAGUUUCGGCGGUUGGGGAUGGACUCGCGGCUUAUCAGCUUGUUGGUGGGGUAGUGGCUUACCAAGGCUUUGACGGGUAGCCGGCCUGAGAGGGUGACCGGCCACAUUGGGACUGAGAUACGGCCCAGACUCCUACGGGAGGCAGCAGUGGGGAAUAUUGCACAAUGGGCGGAGGCCUGAUGCAGCAACGCCGCGUGCGGGAUGACGGCCUUCGGGUUGUAAACCGCUUUCGCCUGUGACGAAGCGUGAGUGACGGUAAUGGGUAAAGAAGCACCGGCUAACUACGUG
rnacentral:rRNA from 1 species